rnacentral:lncRNA from 1 species
CGCCGCUCCGACGCCAGCAGCGCCCGCGUGCCGCUCGCCCAGUCCCGGGGGAGCCCCUGCAAGUUUCCCGGGCCGCGCGCCGCGCUCGCUCGCCUCCCAGCCCGCGGCCCGAGCCGCCGCCGCGCCCGCCAUGCCCUCGGCCAAACAAAGGGGCUCCAAGGGCGGCCACGGCGCCGCGAGCCCCUCGGAGAAGGGUGCCCACCCGUCGGGCGGCGCGGAUGACGUGGCGAAGAAGCCGCCGCCGGCGCCGCAGCAGCCGCCGCCGCCGCCCGCGCCGCACCCGCAGCAGCACCCGCAGCAGCACCCGCAGAACCAGGCGCACGGCAAGGGCGGCCACCGCGGCGGCGGCGGCGGCGGCGGCAAGUCCUCCUCCUCCUCCUCCGCCUCCGCCGCCGCUGCCGCCGCCGCCGCCUCGUCCUCGGCGUCCUGCUCGCGCAGGCUCGGCAGGGCGCUCAACUUUCUCUUCUACCUCGCCCUGGUGG